rnacentral:rRNA from 1 species
AACGAACGCUGGCGGCAUGCCUAACACAUGCAAGUCGAACGAGAUCCUUCGGGGUCUAGUGGCGCACGGGUGCGUAACGCGUGGGAAUCUGCCCUUAGGUUCGGAAUAACAGUUAGAAACGACUGCUAAUACCGGAUGAUGACGUUAAGUCCAAAGAUUUAUCGCCUGAGGAUGAGCCCGCGUAGGAUUAGCUAGUUGGUGUGGUAAAGGCGCACCAAGGCGACGAUCCUUAGCUGGUCUGAGAGGAUGAUCAGCCACACUGGGACUGAGACACGGCCCAGACUCCUACGGGAGGCAGCAGUGGGGAAUAUUGGACAAUGGGCGCAAGCCUGAUCCAGCAAUGCCGCGUGAGUGAUGAAGGCCUUAGGGUUGUAAAGCUCUUUUACCCGGGAUGAUAAUGACAGUACCGGGAGAAUAAGCCCCGGCUAACUCCGUG